rnacentral:rRNA from 1 species
UACGUAGGUGGCAAGCGUUGUCCGGAAUUAUUGGGCGUAAAGCGCGCGCAGGCGGUUCCUUAAGUCUGAUGUGAAAGCCCACGGCUCAACCGUGGAGGGUCAUUGGAAACUGGGGAACUUGAAUGCAGGAGAGAAGAGUGGAAUUCCACGUGUAGCGGUGAAAUGCGUAGAGAUGUGGAGGAACACCAGUGGCGAAGGCGACUCUUUGGCCUGUAACUGACGCUGAGGCGCGAAAGCGUGGGGAGCAAACAGG